rnacentral:rRNA from 1 species
UCGGAACGUGUCCCGUAGUGGGGGAUAACGCCGCGAAAGCGGCGCUAAUACCGCAUAUGCUCUACGGAGGAAAGUGGGGGACCUGCAAGGGCCUCACGCUAUGGGAGCGGCCGAUGUCCGAUUAGCUAGUUGGCGGGGUAAGAGCCCACCAAGGCGAUGAUCGGUAGCUGGUCUGAGAGGAUGAUCAGCCACACUGGAACUGAGACACGGUCCAG